rnacentral:rRNA from 1 species
AGAGUUUGAUCAUGGCUCAGAUUGAACGCUGGCGGCAUGCCUUACACAUGCAAGUCGAACGGCAGCACGGGGGCAACCCUGGUGGCGAGUGGCGAACGGGUGAGUAAUACAUCGGAACGUGUCCUGUAGUGGGGGAUAGCCCGGCGAAAGCCGGAUUAAUACCGCAUACGCUCUACGGAGGAAAGGGGGGGAUCUUAGGACCUCCCGCUACAGGGGCGGCCGAUGGCAGAUUAGCUAGUUGGUGGGGUAAAGGCCUACCAAGGCGACGAUCUGUAGCUGGUCUGAGAGGACGACCAGCCACACUGGGACUGAGACACGGCCCAGACUCCUACGGGAGGCAGCAGUGGGGAAUUUUGGACAAUGGGCGAAAGCCUGAUCCAGCAAUGCCGCGUGUGUGAAGAAGGCCUUCGGGUUGUAAAGCACUUUUGUCCGGAAAGAAAUCCUCUGGGUUAAUACCCCGGGGGGAUGACGGUACCGGAAGAAUAAGCACCGGCUAACUACGUGCCAGCAGCCGCGGUAAUACGUAGGGUGCAAGCGUUAAUCGGAAUUACUGGGCGUAAAGCGUGCGCAGGCGGUUCGCUAAGACAGAUGUGAAAUCCCCGGGCUUAACCUGGGAACUGCAUUUGUGACUGGCGGGCUAGAGUAUGGCAGAGGGGGGUAGAAUUCCACGUAGCAGUGAAAUGCGUAGAGAUGUGGAGGAAUACCGAUGGCGAAGGCAGCCCCCUGGGCCAAUACUGACGCUCAUGCACGAAAGCGUGGGGAGCAAACAGGAUUAGAUACCCNNGUAGUCC